rnacentral:rRNA from 1 species
CUGACGUUAGCGGCGGACGGGUGAGUAACACGUGGAUAACCUACCUAUAAGACUGGGAUAACUUCGGGAAACCGGAGCUAAUACCGGAUAAUAUAUUGAACCGCAUGGUUCAAUAGUGAAAGACGGUUUUGCUGUCACUUAUAGAUGGAUCCGCGCCGCAUUAGCUAGUUGGUAAGGUAACGGCUUACCAAGGCAACGAUGCGUAGCCGACCUGAGAGGGUGAUCGGCCACACUGGAACUGAGACACGGUCCAGACUCCUACGGGAGGCAGCAGUAGGGAAUCUUCCGCAAUGGGCGAAAGCCUGACGGAGCAACGCCGCGUGAGUGAUGAAGGUCUUCGGAUCGUAAAACUCUGUUAUUAGGGAAGAACAAAUGUGUAAGUAACUAUGCACGUCUUGACGGUACCUAAUCAGAAAGCCACGGCUAACUACGUGCCAGCAGCCGCGGUAAUACGUAGGUGGCAAGCGUUAUCCGGAAUUAUUGGGCGUAAAGCGCGCGUAGGCGGUUUUUUAAGUCUGAUGUGAAAGCCCACGGCUCAACCGUGGAGGGUCAUUGGAAACUGGAAAACUUGAGUGCAGAAGAGGAAAGUGGAAUUCCAUGUGUAGCGGUGAAAUGCGCAGAGAUAUGGAGGAACACCAGUGGCGAAGGCGACUUUCUGGUCUGUAACUGACGCUGAUGUGCGAAAGCGUGGGGAUCAAACAGGAUUAGAUACCCUGGUAGUCCACGCCGUAAACGAUGAGUGCUAAGUGUUAAGGGGGUUUCCGCCCCUUAGUGCUGCAGCUAACGCAUUAAGCACUCCGCCUGGGGGAGUACGACCGCAAGGUUGAAACUCAAAGGAAUUGACGGGGACCCGCACAAGCGGUG